rnacentral:rRNA from 1 species
UCGAGCGGCGAACGGGUGAGUAACGCGUGGAUAACCUGCCCAGAGGUGGGGGAUAACCCGGGGAAACUCGGGCUAAUACCGCAUAUGACCGUGAGGUCAAAGGCGGCUCGCAAGAGCUGUCGCCAUUGGAGGGGUCCGCGUACGAUUAGCUAGUUGGUAGGGUAAUGGCCUACCAAGGCGACGAUCGUUAGCCGGCCUGAGAGGGUGAUCGGCCACACUGGAACUGAAACACGGUCCAG